GUUUUCUUUCAAGUCAGCGUCGUCUGGUAAAUCAAGCACGCCGCUGGGCACAAGCUAUAAAACGUAUUACAGGUGUUCUCUACCAUGAAUCUAUUAUCUUAUUUGUGGUAAACGAGGGCAUUAUCAGGAACACAAGUGGUGUGGAGGUAGGACAAUGUGCAUUUUCGUCUCGGGAAAAAAAAUGAAGUAGAAGUAGGAAUUCUGCCAUGGUCAACUAAGAGCUGUGGUGGAAGAAGAUUCUAAGAAAGGAAAAGCAGCAAACGAAUCCCUUCUGCUAUUGGCGUAACCAGGAGAGGGGGUUCCCCUUUCCCAUGGAACAGAAAGUUUCAGGAG